GCCGGGUUGGCAGAGUGGUUAUCGCGCACGCCUUGAGAGCGUGUGUCCGUAAGGACUCAGGAGUUCGAAUCUCCUACCCGGCG
rnacentral:tRNA from 1 species